rnacentral:rRNA from 1 species
UACGUAGGUGGCGAGCGUUGUCCGGAUUUACUGGGCGUAAAGGGAGCGUAGGCGGAUUUUUAAGUGAGAUGUGAAAUACUCGGGCUCAACUUGAGUGCUGCAUUUCAAACUGGAAGUCUAGAGUGCAGGAGAGGAGAAUGGAAUUCCUGGUGUAGCGGUGAAAUGCGUAGAGAUUAGGAAGAACACCAGUGGCGAAGGCGAUUCUCUGGACUGUAACUGACGCUGAGGCUCGAAAGCGUGGGGAGCAAACAGG